rnacentral:rRNA from 1 species
ACUCUUGGUUAUUCUAAGAAGUGUAAUGAGGAUAAUUUAAAACCCUUACCGAAAGCAAUUGGAGGGCAAGUCUGGUGCCAGCAGCCGCGGUAAUUCCAGCUCCAAUAGCGUUUAUUAAAGUUGUUGCAGUUAAAAAGCUCGUAGUUGAAGUUCUGGCUGAUUGACCCUCGAGCUUCGUAGCCGAGGGCUCGUCAGUCAUCCGCUUGCAAAUAUAUGUUCGCCUUUAACCGGGCGGCUAUAUGAGUAAGCAAUUUACCUUGAGAAAAACAGAGUGUUCCAGGCAGGUUUGUCCGGAAUGCAUUAGCAUGGAAUAAUAGAAUAUGACUGAAGUCGAUUUAUUGGUUUGAGGCUUUAGUAAUGAUUAAUAGGAACAGUCGGGGGCAUUGGUACUUGACAGUCAGAGGUGAAAUUCUAGGAUUUGUCAAAGACUAACAAAUGCGAAAGCAUUUGCCAGGGAUGUUUUCAUUAAUCAAGAACGAAAGUUAGGGGAUCAAAGACGAUCAGAUACCGUCCUAGUCUUAACUAUAAACGAUACCGACUCGGAUUCAGAUGAAUCAUAAAGUUCAUUUGGGACCGUAGGAGAAAUCAAAGUUUUUGGGUUCUGGGGGAAGUAUGGUCGCAAGGCUGAAACUUAAAGGAAUUGACGGUUUUGCACCACCAUGGAGUGGAGUCUGCGGCUUAAUUUGACCCAACACUGGGAAACCCAUCAGGGCAAGAAGAUUGUAGGAUUGACAGAUUGAGAGUUCUUUCUUGAUUGGUCUAGUGGUGGUGCAUGGCCGUUCUUAGUUGGUGGAGUGAUUUGUCUGGUUAAUUCCGUUAACGAACGAGACCUUAACCUGCUAACUAGUACACCGAUGACAAAUCGGCGAUACUUCUUAGAGGGACUAUGUGAUGUAAUCACAUGGAAGUUUGAGGCAAUAACAGGUCUGUGAUGCCCUUAGAUGUCCUGAGCUGCACGCGUACUACAAUGGUGCUUUCAACGAGCUUUUCCUGAUCCGAAAGGAUUUGGGUAAUCUUUUUAGUGAGCACCGUGCUUGGGAUUGAUCUUUGUAAUUAUGGAUCAUGAACUAGGAAUUCCUAGUAAGCACGUGUCAUCAGCACGUGCUGAUUACGUCCCUGCAAAAUGUACACACCGCCCGUCGCUAUUACCGAUUGAGUGUAAAGGUGAACCUUCUCGAUAGACGCAAGUUUAGAAAUUAAGUAAACCUUUGCACUUAGAGGAAAUAAAAGUCGUAACAAGGUUUCCGUAGGUGAACCUGCGGAAG